rnacentral:rRNA from 1 species
UACGUAGGUGGCAAGCGUUGUCCGGAUUUACUGGGCGUAAAGAGCGCGCAGGCGGUCGACCAAGUCGCGUGUGAAAGCCCCCGGCUCAACUGGGGAGGGUCACGCGAUACUGAUCGACUCGAAGGCAGGAGAGGGUAGUGGAAUUCCCGGUGUAGUGGUGAAAUGCGUAGAUAUCGGGAGGAACACCAGUGGCGAAGGCGACUACCUGGCCUGUUCUUGACGCUGAGGCGCGAAAGCCAGGGGAGCAAACGGG